rnacentral:rRNA from 1 species
ACGGAAAUCCCAGGGCUUCUGUGAUGCGCUCUCGAAGAGUCGAGUUGUUUGRGAAUGCAGCUCAAAAUGGGUGGUGAACUCCAUCUAAAGCUAAAUAUUGGCGAGAGACCGAUAGUGAACAAGUACCGUGAGGGAAAGAUGAAAAGCACUUUGGAAAGAGAGUGAAACAGUACGUGAAAUUGUUGAAAGGGAAACGCUUAAAGUCAGUCGCGUCGACCGAGACUCAGCCUUGCCUAGGCUUGGUGUACUUCUCGGCUGACGGGUCAGCAUCAAUUUUGAUCCUCGGAUAAUGGCAAGGGAAAGGUAGCACCUUUACAGGUGUGUUAUAGUCCCAUGUCGCAUGCGGGGGUCGGGAUUGAGGAACUCAGCAUGCACCCCUCGGUGUCAGGGCCUUUUGGCCCAUGUUACGUGCUUAGGAUGCUGGCAUAAUGGCUUUAAACGACCCGUCUUGAAACACGGACCAAGGAGUCUAACAUACCCGCGAGUGUUUGGGUGGAAAACCCAUGCGCGUAAUGAAAGUGAAAGUUGGGACCUCUGUCGUGGAGGGCACCGACGCCUGGACCAGACCUUCUGUGACGGCUCUGCGGUAGAGCGUGUAUGUUGGGACCCGAAAGAUGGUGAACUAUGCCUGAAUAGGGUGAAGCCAGAGGAAACUCUGGUGGAGGCUCGUAGCGAUUCUGACGUGCAAAUCGAUCGUCAAAUUUGGGUAUAGGGG